rnacentral:rRNA from 1 species
CAGUAGCCAGCGGUAAUACGUAGGUGGCAAGCGUUGUCCGGAAUUAUUGGGCGUAAAGGGCUCGCAGGCGGUUUCUUAAGUCUGGUGUGAAAGCCCCCGGCUCAACCGGGGAGGGUCAUUGGAAACUGGGAAACUUGAGUGCAGAAGAGGAGAGUGGAAUUCCACGUGUAGCGGUGAAAUGCGUAGAGAUGUGGAGGAACACCAGUGGCGAAGGCGACUCUCUGGUCUGUAACUGACGCUGAGGAGCGAAAGCGUGGGGAGCGAACAGGAUUAGAUACCCCUGUAGUCCCUGUCUCUUAUU